GGGGCCAUAGCUCAGAUGGCUAGAGCAUCUGCUUUGCAAGCAGAGGGUCGCCGGUUCGAGUCCGGCUGGCUCCA
rnacentral:tRNA from 1 species